rnacentral:rRNA from 1 species
UAACGCGUGGGUAACCUGCCUUACACUGGGGGAUAACACUUAGAAAUAGGUGCUAAUACCGCAUAAGCGCACGAAGCCGCAUGGAUUUGUGUGAAAAACUCCGGUGGUGUAAGAUGGACCCGCGUCUGAUUAGCUUGUUGGCGGGGUAACGGCCCACCAAGGCGACGAUCAGUAGCCGGCCUGAGAGGGUGGACGGCCACAUUGGGACUGAGACACGGCCCAAACUCCUACGGGAGGCAGCAGUGGGGGAUAUUGGACAAUGGGGGGAACCCUGAUCCAGCGACGCCGCGUGAGUGAAGAAGUAUUUCGGUAUGUAAAGCUCUGUCAGCAGGGAAGAAAGAAAUGACGGUACCUGACCAAGAAGCCCCGGCUAACUACGUGCCAGCAGCCGCGGUAAUACGUAGGGGGCAAGCGUUAUCCGGAAUUACUGGGUGUAAAGGGAGCGUAGACGGUUAAGUAAGUCUGGAGUGAAAGGCCGGGGCCCAACCCCGGGACUGCUCUGGAAACUAUUGAACUUGAGUGCAGGAGAGGUAAGCGGAAUUCCUAGUGUAGCGGUGAAAUGCGUAGAUAUUAGGAGGAACACCAGUGGCGAAGGCGGCUUACUGGACUGUAACUGACGUUGAGGCUCGAAAGCGUGGGGAGCAAACAGGAUUAGAUACCCUGGUAGU